rnacentral:misc_RNA from 1 species
UUUCUUCCCCCUUUCUUCUAUUUUAUUCUCCCUUUCUUCUGUUUUCUGUUUGGGUUGUGGCUCUGCCACAGUAUAAGAGCGUCAAGAUGUUGAGGUCUCUGAAGAUUCCAUCGUAGCUAAGUUGAUAAAGCUGGCGAGGAAGACUAAGUAGAAUAUGGUGGCCGAAAACCCUAGAUUGCAAAAUCUGGAGGAGCAAAUGCAAUCG